rnacentral:rRNA from 1 species
CCAAUAGCGUAUAUUAAAGUUGUUGCAGUUAAAAAGCUCGUAGUUGAAUUUCGGGAUUGACACAUCGGUCGUGCCUUAAGGGGCAUGAACUGGUGUAGUCAAUUUCUCACCUUCUGGAGAACCGCGAUGCCCUUAAUUGGGUGUCGCGGGGAACCAGGACCUUUACUUUGAAAAAAUUAGAGUGUUUAAAGCAGGCAUUUUGCUUGAAUACAUUAGCAUGGAAUAAUAAAAUAGGACGGCAUGAUUCUAUUUUGUUGGUUUCUAGGAUCACCGUAAUGAUUAAUAGGGAUAGUUGGGGGCAUUAGUAUUCAAUUGUCAGAGGUGAAAUUCUUGGAUUUAUUGAAGACUAACUACUGCGAAAGCAUUUGCCAAGGAUGUUUUCAUUAAUCAAGAACGAAAGUUAGGGGAUCGAAGACGAUCAGAUACCGUCGUAGUCUUAACCAUAAACUAUGCCGACUAGGAAUCAGACGAUGUUAAUUUUUUAAUGACUCGUUUGGCACCUUAC